GGUGUUCAUUUUGGUCUUAUGUAAAUGCAUUUUUUUUUAAAUCAAGAUAAUUUUCAUUAUUUCUUGUAGGUGCAAAGAAUAGCAGCUGAUGUGGAGAAAUGUUUGAUGCUUCAAGACUCUCUGAAGCUGAUUAUAUUAGGUGCACCCAGUGGCUUUUGACUAGGCCUAUUCGAGGGUCACAUGGUUGUGAAUUCAUACCUCAACUUUGCGGCUGGAUUUUCAAUCUUAUUACAACUUCAGCCUGGCGUCCCGGGAGCAGGCGUCUUUUGCACACUUGAAUUAAUUUCAAAGAUGUUUUGUUGGAAUCACAACACUCACUGGAUACAAGACGGAUAUACAGAGGCAAAACAAGUGGAAAGGUCUCAGAGAAGAGGGACAACCCUCAUGUGUGUGCUCAUCUCAGAAAGUUGAUGGACUUUCAGUAUGUAUUUAUUAAAUUGUCUUUUGCAGGAAUAUUCUAAAUUUAAUAUAACAUAAGCUCAAACAACAGAAUUUGUGGUAUAAUGUUGAUUCCAGCAUUUUAUUUUAAUCCUUUAACCAAAAUUAUACAA